rnacentral:rRNA from 1 species
AGAUUAAGUUAUUAAGGGCGCACGGUGGAUGCCUUGGCACUAGAAGCCGACGAAGGACGUUACUAACGACGAUAUGCUUUGGGGAGCUGUAAGUAAGCUUUGAUCCAGAGAUUUCCGAAUGGGGAAACCCAGCACGAGUUAUGUCGUGUUAUCUGCAUGUGAAUACAUAGCAUGCAAGAAGGCAGACCCGGAGAACUGAAACAUCUUAGUACCCGGAGGAAGAGAAAGAAAAAUCGAUUCCCUGAGUAGCGGCGAGCGAAACGGGAAGAGCCCAAACCAAUAAGCUUGCUUAUUGGGGUUGUAGGACACUCUGUACGGAGUUACAAAAGAAUUUGUUAGACGAAUAACCUGGAAAGGUUAAUCAGAGAAGGUAAUAAUCCUGUAGUCGAAAACGAAUUCUCUCUUGAGUGGAU